rnacentral:tRNA from 1 species
AAAGGGAGACCUAAUUCAGGUAAAAGACGAAAAAAAAGUAGUCGCUACCAAGAAUCAAUCCCAAAAGGUCGGAGCGAGGCGAAAUUGGCUUUCAAACUAGGUUCUGGGUUCAAACAAGACCUGAAUCAGGAACAAGGGCUAUUAGCUCAGGUGGUUAGAGCGCACCCCUGAUAAGGGUGAGGUCCCUGGUUCGAGUCCAGGAUGGCCCACCUGCACAGGUGGCAAAAACAAGAGAAGCGAGGAAUCAGCACCUUAUCUUACUGACAUAGUAAGAGAGAAUGCUGGCUCUGAGUAAAGAGUCCAGAGGAACCUUGGAAACUGCAUAGAGCUAGGUGAAAAAGCCAAAAAAGAAGACCGCAAG